UAGGGAAUUUUGGACAAUGGGGGCAACCCUGACCGAGCGACGCCGCGUGUGGGAUUGAAGGCCUUCGGGUCGUAAACCACUGUCAUGAGGGAAGAAUGCCCGGAUGGCGAAUUCGGGAGCGACGGUACCUCAGGAGGAAGCCCCGGCUAACUCCGUGCCAGCAGCCGCGGUAAUACGGAGGGGGCAAGCGUUGUUCGGAAUCAUUGGGCGUAAAGAGCGUGUAGGCGGCUUGAUAAGUCAGAUGUGAAAGCCCUGGGCUUAACCCAGGAAGUGCAUUUGAAACUGUCAGACUUGAGUAUCAGAGGGGAAAGUGGAAUUCCCGGUGUAGAGGUGAAAUUCGUAGAUAUCGGGAGGAAUACCGGUGGCGAAGGCGACUUUCUGGCUGAAUACUGACGCUCAGGCGCGAAAGCGUGGGGAGCAAACA
rnacentral:rRNA from 1 species